GAUGAACGCUGGCGGCGUGCUUAACACAUGCAAGUCGAACGAAGAUGCCGGAGUGCUUGCACUUUGGCAGACUGAGUGGCGGACGGGUGAGUAACGCGUGGGUAACCUGCCUCAAAGAGGGGGACAACAGUUGGAAACGACUGCUAAUACCGCAUAAGCCCACGGCUCGGCAUCGAGCAGAGGGAAAAGGAGCAAUCCGCUUUGAGAUGGCCUCGCGUCCGAUUAGCUAGUUGGUGAGGUAACGGCCACCAAGGCGACGAUCGGUAGCCGGACUGAGAGGUUGAACGGCCACAUUGGGACUGAGACACGGCCCAGACUCCUACGGGAGGCAGCAGUGGGGAAUAUUGCACAAUGGGGAAACCCUGAUGCAGCGACGCCGCGUGGAGGAAGAAGGUCUUCGGAUUGUAAACUCCUGUUGUUGGGGAAGAGUAAUGACGGUACCCAACAAGGAAGUGACGGCUAACUACGUGCCAGCAGCCGC
rnacentral:rRNA from 1 species